rnacentral:rRNA from 1 species
UGGGGAAUUUUGGACAAUGGGCGAAAGCCUGAUCCAGCCAUGCCGCGUGAGUGAAGAAGGCCUUCGGGUUGUAAAGCUCUUUUAGCAGGGAAGAUAAUGACGGUACCUGCAGAAAAAGCCCCGGCUAACUUCGUGCCAGCAGCCGCGGUAAUACGAAGGGGGCUAGCGUUGCUCGGAAUUACUGGGCGUAAAGCGCACGUAGGCGGACUCUUAAGUCGGUGGUGAAAUCCUGGAGCUCAACUCCAGAACUGCCUUCGAUACUGGGAGUCUUGAGUUCGGGAGAGGUGAGUGGAACUGCGAGUGUAGAGGUGAAAUUCGUAGAUAUGACAUAGAACACCAAUUGCGAAGGCAGCUUACUACAUAUAAAUUGACGCUGAGGCACGAAAGCGUGGGGAUCAAACA